GCAGCUCGACCAGAGCAUCUGCAAGCGGGCCACCGGCCGGCCCCGCUGCGACCUGCUCCAGGCCAUGCCCCGCACCGAGUUCGCGCGCCUCAACGGCGACGUGCGCCUGCUCACGCCCGAGGCGGUGGAGGGCUGGUCGGACCUGGUGCACUGCCCCUCGCAGCGCCUGCUCGACCGCCUGGUGCGCCGCUACGCCGAGACCAAGGACUCGGGCAGCUUCCUGCUCCGCAACCUCAAGGACUCGGAGCGCAUGCAGCUGCUGCUGACGCUGGCCUUCAACCCCGAGCCGCUGGUGCUACAGGUA